rnacentral:misc_RNA from 1 species
GUAGGUGAACCUGCGGAAGGAUCAUUAUUGAAUUACUUGAUGGGUUGUUGCUGGCUCCUUGGAGCAUGUGCACGCCUAUCUUGACCUCUAUUCAUCCACCUGUGCACUAUUUGUAGUCUUGGGGGCUGUAAAUGGCUGACUGUCAGGGAAUGUAAUUCCCGGAUGUUGAGGACUGCAGUGCGAAAGCACUGCUUUUCCUCUACUGGUCAUGAACCCAGGUCUAUGUAUUUAUUGAUACACCACAUAGUAU